rnacentral:tRNA from 1 species
GCAACUCCCGGGCGGGGCUGGUUCGAUUCCCGCUUG